AUCCAGCUGACGAGUUCCAAAUAAAACGAAGCGCGCGUCAUGGAU
rnacentral:hammerhead_ribozyme from 1 species